CUCCGAAUGCCAUGUACUUAUACUCGGGAGUCAGACUGCGAGUGAUAAGAUCCGUAGUCGAAAGGGAAACAGCCCAGACCACCAGUUAAGGUCCCCAAAUAUAUGUUAAGUGGAAAAGGAUGUGGGGUUGCUUAGACAACCAGGAUGUUGGCUUAGAAGCAGCCACCAUUGAAAGAGUGCGUAAUAGCUCACUGGUCGAGUGACCCCGCGCCGAAAAUGUACCGGGGCUAAACAUAUUACCGAAACUGUGGAUGAACCUCUUUAGAGGUUCGUGGUAGGAGAGCGUUCUAAGGGCGGUGAAGUCAGACCGGAAGGACUGGUGGAGCGCUUAGAAGUGAGAAUGCCGGUAUGAGUAGCGAAAGAAGGGUGAGAAUCCCUUCCACCGAAUAUCUAAGGUUUCCUGAGGAAGGCUCGUCCGCUCAGGGUUAGUCGGGACCUAAGCCGAGGCCGAUAGGCGUAGGCGAUGGACAACAGGUAGAGAUUCCUGUACCAGUGCUAAUUGUUUAACCGAUGGGGUGACACAGAAGGAUAGGGAAUCGCACGAAUGGAAAUGUGCGUCCAAGCAGUGAGUGUGAGAAGUAGGCAAAUCCGCUUCUCGCGAAGCAUGAGCUGUGAUGGGGAAGGAAAUUAAGUACGGAAGUUCCUGAUUUCACGCUGUCAAGAAAAGCCUCUAGGAAGAGUAGUACUGCCCGUACCGCAAACCGACACAGGUAGAUGAGGAGAGAAUCCUAAGGUGAGCGAGAGAACUCUCGUUAAGGAACUCGGCAAAAUGACCCCGUAACUUCGGGAGAAGGGGUGCUCUAUUAGGGUGCAAGCCCGAGAGAGCCGCAGUGAAUAGGCCCAGGCGACUGUUUAGCAAAAACACAGGUCUCUGCAAAACCGUAAGGUGACGUAUAGGGGCUGACGCCUGCCCGGUGCUGGAAGGUUAAGAGGAGUGCUUAGCUUCGGCGAAGGUACGAAUUGAAGCCCCAGUAAACGGCGGCCGUAACUAUAACGGUCCUAAGGUAGCGAAAUUCCUUGUCGGGUAAGUUCCGACCCGCACGAAAGGCGCAACGAUCUGGGCACUGUCUCAACGAGAGACUCGGUGAAAUUAUAGUACCUGUGAAGAUGCAGGUUACCCGCGACAGGACGGAAAGACCCCGUGGAGCUUUACUGCAACCUGAUAUGGAAUGUUUGUACCGCUUGUACAGGAUAGGUAGGAGCCGAAGAGACGUGUGCGCUAGCAUACGAGGAGGCAAUGGUGGGAUACUACCCUGGCUGUAUGACCAUUCUAACCCGCCACGCUUAGCGCGUGGGGAGACAGUGUCAGGUGGGCAGUUUGACUGGGGCGGUCGCCUCCUAAAGAGUAACGGAGGCGCCCAAAGGUUCCCUCAGAAUGGAUGGAAAUCAUUCGCAGAGUGUAAAGGCACAAGGGAGCUUGACUGCGAGACUGACAAGUCGAGCAGGGACGAAAGUCGGGCUUAGUGAUCCGGUGGUUCCGCAUGGAAGGGCCAUCGCUCAACGGAUAAAAGCUACCCCGGGGAUAACAGGCUUAUCUCCCCCAAGAGUCCACAUCGACGGGGAGGUUUGGCACCUCGAUGUCGGCUCGUCGCAUCCUGGGGCUGUAGUCGGUCCCAAGGGUUGGGCUGUUCGCCCAUUAAAGCGGCACGCGAGCUGGGUUCAGAACGUCGUGAGACAGUUCGGUCCCUAUCCGUCGCGGGCGCAGGAAAUUUGAGAGGAGCUGUCCUUAGUACGAGAGGACCGGGAUGGACACACCGCUGGUGUACCAGUUGUUCCGCCAGGAGCAUCGCUGGGUAGCUAUGUGUGGCAGGGAUAAACGCUGAAAGCAUCUAAGCGUGAAGCCCCCCUCAAGAUGAGAUUUCCCAUUUCUUCGGAAAGUAAGAUCCCUGAAAGAUGAUCAGGUAGAUAGGUUUGGAGUGGAAGUGUAGCGAUACAUGGAGCGGACAAAUACUAAUCGAUCGAGGACUUAACCAA
rnacentral:rRNA from 1 species